rnacentral:rRNA from 1 species
CACGUAGGGGGCAAGCGUUGUCCGGAUUUAUUGGGCGUAAAGAGCUCGUAGGCGGCUCAGUAAGUCAGGUGUGAAACCCCGGGGCUCAACCCGGGGACGCCACCUGAUACUGCUGUGGCUAGAGUCCGGUAGGGGAGCGUGGAAUUCCUGGUGUAGCGGUGAAAUGCGCAGAUAUCAGGAGGAACACCGAUGGCGAAGGCAGGUCUCUGGGCCGAUACUGACGCUGAGGAGCGAAAGCGUGGGGAGCGAACAGG